AGGCAUUUGCUUCAGGUGAGCAGAGGGAUGACUUUCUGUCCCACAUCUGUGAAGAUCAGCUGUUGGUUUACAUUGCCAGGGUGAAAUUCAACAGAACUAAUUUAGGGUGAAGAUCUUGAGGCCCACAAGGAAUUUCCUUGUGGGAAAAUUGUGAGGAAGAUCGGAUGAGAGAAGAGAAGUGACUUCCCCAUGGUCACAUGUCUAGUUGGCAAUGGAAGUGGGAUUCAAGUCCAGUUCCACCUGACUUCAAAGCUUAUUCCUGUUUGACUUCACCCUGCUGCCUCUAAGAUAAAGGGGAGAUCAGGAGAGCAGAAUGGUUGCUUCCCCAGAGGAACAUGUGGUCUCAUUUUCUGCUUAGGGAUAGCUCACAGGAUUCAUGAAGUGGUCACCAGAGGAUAAGGACCAACCAGGUUAACGUGAAGAAAACACCCAGCUGCAGCUGUUUAAUGAGCAACUCGAAGCUGUGGAUAAGAGCAAUCACUGCACCCAGCCACCUCUAUAUACAUGUACACAAAGCCACACAGUUUACACAGUCACAGGUAUUUAAGUACACACUAUUCACACACAAAUACAUAUAUAGACACACAUGUACAGUCCGUCCAAAAUAUAUGUACAUAAAAGCACACUAUUACACCUUCAUAUGUGCACACACACACACACCCAGACUCACUUCAUACACACAUAGAUACAACAGCCACAGCUCCCCAUCACCUACACACACACACACACACCUGGACACCCAGCUCUAAUAUAAUCAGAUAGAGAUAUGCAUGCAGACAAAUUUGCCUGUAUAGUCAAACACAUAGGCAAAUAGAGAACGAGACACCACAUGAACAAAGGCAAACCUACACACAAAGACACAGAGCACACUUACGCAUAUAUCUAUAGACCCACCAUGGCACAUAUGGGUAAGUGCACACAGGCAAACUCACACACACGAGCAUGCACAGGCAGAGAACACAAAUGUACACUCCCAGGUGUCAUAAAGAACAGCCCAGCUUCGGCUUGGGAACGUCACAUCAGACAAUAGGAACGGCUGCACCGCGCGUUUCCUCGGCUGCCAGCUUCCCAGCCACAGAGGAUGCCUCACCUGCUAUGUCAGCUCCCCUCUGCCCCACCUCACAAGAAGCUCAGAAGCUGAGGAGUCACAGAGAGACCUCCCUACUGUGUCAGAGGUUAAUAAUCAGGGAA
rnacentral:lncRNA from 1 species